rnacentral:rRNA from 1 species
CAAGUCGAACGAAGUCUUCGGACUUAGUGGCGCACGGGUGAGUAACGCGUGGGAACAUACCUUUUGGUGGGGGAUAACGUUUGGAAACGAACGCUAAUACCGCAUAAGCCCUUUGGGGGAAAGAUUUAUCGCCGAAAGAUUGGCCCGCGUCUGAUUAGCUAGUUGGUGAGGUAAUGGCUCACCAAGGCUUCGAUCAGUAGCUGGUUUGAGAGAAUGACCAGCCACACUGGGACUGAGACACGGCCCAGACUCCUACGGGAGGCAGCAGUGGGGAAUAUUGGACAAUGGGCGCAAGCCUGAUCCAGCCAUGCCGCGUGAGUGAUGAAGGCCUUAGGGUUGUAAAGCUCUUUCGCACGCGACGAUGAUGACGGUAGCGUGAGAAGAAGCCCCGGCUAACUUCGUGCCAGCAGCCGCGGU